GUGCUCACUUCAGCAGCACAUAUACUAAAAUUGGAACAAUAGAGAGAAGAUUAGCCUGGUCCUUUCCCGAAGAUAACAUGCAAAUGCAUUAAGCAUUCCAUAUUUUU